rnacentral:lncRNA from 1 species
AGGUGAUACUUGCGACCAGGUUUUAUGUCUUUAUUUCUUUUCCAUCUUCUUUGGUACUUUCUGCUUAACUGCAUGUAAUUAAUGUCUCCUCUCGCACUGAAAACCUCUUCCAAGAAAAGGUGUUCUCUCAAUCCCCGUACUGUGUUAAAAAACAAACAAACAAAAAAGCAAAACAAAACUGUAGCUAAUGUUUAGUGAGGGCUGACUUGCAGCCUACUUCUAAGUGCAGUUUAAUACGGCAUCUUUUGACGUGUGUCUGUUGUACUGUUACACAAAUGAGGAAACGGAGGCACGAAGGAAUUGGGACAGCACAGUGCCCAGCGUGUAUCAGACCACGGGAGCACCUAGGUUUGAUUCUCAGCACCCACAUGGAGGCUCACAACAGUUGGUAACUCCAGAUCCAAGGAAUCCAUUGCUUCUGCUACACCAGCAUAUAUAAGCAGUAAGGACUAUCAAGUGACACUCUAAAAGCAGAGUUGCCUGGAAGAGUCUCACAUCAACUGGAUUGCCUGAAAGAAGCAGGGACUCCAAACUGUUGAGUUUCCUGUGAGUUGUGCAGUGCAGCCCAUGUUUCCAGCUUUCCUGAGCUGACAUCAUGCUGGAGGAGGCUUUUAGCAAUGCAGUUGUCUUUGAGUCAUUUCUGCUCCUGUAAGUAAGCUCAGUAAAACUCAUUGCUUCACCAGGUUGGACUUUGGUUUUCUGAAACGAGUAGAUGUUUGUUCACAGCUCUUCAGGAAUAGUGUCCUACAGCCUGGGCAUAGCCUGUGUGCUUAAGGAGUUGUGGCUUAACCCGGAAAAUGUAGCCUCCUGAUAAGAAAAUGCAAAUGUUUUCUAGUUUGUCUUUUUUUUUUUUUUUUGGUUUUUCGAGACAGGGUUUCUCUGUGGCUUUGGAGGCUGUUCUGGAACUAGUUCUUGUAGACCAGGCUGGUCUCAAACUCACAGAGAUCUACCUGCCUCUGCCUCCCGAGUGCUGGGAUUAAAGGCGUACGCCACCAACACCUGGCCCUCUAGUUUGUCUUUUAAGAUACAAUUGCUGAAGUGAAUAAAUGAAGCUGGGCUGCUACAAAUACCUGCACAGGUAAAUUACCAUCAGAGAUUUACUGAUCUGUUGUGGUGGCUGUGAAGUUCAAGAUGAAGGCUAAAGACCAGAUGUCUUAGGUUUUAUUAUUUUUUCAUUGAUGGUAUCUUCUGUGUGUCCUCAUGUGGCAGAGGAGCAAAGGGGACAAACAAGUAAGGACAUUUUGCUAUUUAAUAGGUAACUGAAGAGCUGGAGAGAUGGCUUCAUGGUUAAGAGCCCUUGUUUCUCUUACAGAAGAAGCUCUACUCUCAUGCCCAGGAUACACACAGCCAAAGCCCCUCCUCGUAAUACUAAUACAUCUUGCUACAUGUGAACUUAGGAGGUGACAUGAUUCAGGUGAUAGCACAGAGACCUGGAGACUCAGCUUCGAUCCCCUUGCUGUAACUGGUGCACUUUGCCCCUCCCUCCAGUCAGUCUUCGAAUACUUCGCCUCUCUUGCACACUCUCUCUCCCCUGUCCCAGAGCUGCGAAUUGAUACCAUCUUAGUAUGUCCAGUUCAUGGCCUUGUCAGUGACCUUUCAAAAAACAAUUUCAUUUUUUUUCCCCCUCAAACAACGGUUCUAGGACAAGUUGCUCUAGGCUUGCUAUGCAGCCCAAGAUGACUGAACUUUUUCACCUCUUCCUGAUAGUGCUGGGAUUACAGAUGUGGACCACCAUGCCUGGCUUAUGUGGUGCUGGAAGUGUAACCCAGGGAAUGGUUCAUGCUUGGUUGGUGCAGUGAAUAAAUGCAGAUUCUUUAUUGAAUGACUGGUACAAAGGAAGCAUCACAAUCAUUUAGUGAGAUAAAGAUGUUUUGCUAAGUCAGAAUAAUCAUGUAAGUCUAGAGAGAUGGCCCAGUGGUUAAGCACAUUGAUUUUCUUUG